UACGAAGGGGGCUAGCGUUGCUCGGAAUCACUGGGCGUAAAGCGCACGUAGGCGGAUUGUUAAGUCAGGGGUGAAAUCCUGGAGCUCAACUCCAGAACUGCCUUUGAUACUGGCGAUCUUGAGUCCGGGAGAGGUGAGUGGAACUGCGAGUGUAGAGGUGAAAUUCGUAGAUAUUCGGAAGAACACCAGUGGCGAAGGCGACUCACUGGCCCGAUACUGACGCUGAGGCGCGAAAGCGUGGGGAGCGAACAGG
rnacentral:rRNA from 1 species